rnacentral:rRNA from 1 species
AUGCAGCAGUUCCAGGACGGCCACCACGUGCGGCUGCGGAGCCGCGAGCGCGGCAUGUACCUGCACGCCGACGAGGACGGGCAUGGCGUCUCCCUCCACCACCGCCGGGCGUCGAUGAACGCGGCUUGGGUGGUGCACUUGUACCACGGCCACGCGGAGUACGUGCUCCUCCACAGCGCCGCCUACGGUCGCUACCUCGCCGCCACGUAA